AUUUCUUUGUUUUGUCAUUUUCAUCUGAAAUCAACUUCAACUUAAAGAUGAAGUCAUGUGUCCUGCUUCUUCUGUUGUGUUUUCUCUCUUUGGGAAUCGUUGAUCCUGUUGUCAGUCAACGUGGAUGUUCAAGAAACUGUAAUUUUUUGGAUUGCACAGGACAAUGUAGGCUCAGAGGGCGCCGAAUUGGAAUCUGUGUCCCUUGCUUCUUUAGGAGAAAGAAAUGCAUUUGCCUUUUCCGUUGACAUAUGAACACUAUUCUUCUACAGAAAGACAAAAAUGCAUGAUAUAUACUGAAUUGAUUCAAUAAAAAUAAAGAAUCAUUUGAA